rnacentral:rRNA from 1 species
GAUGAACGCUGGCGGCGUGCCUAAUACAUGCAAGUCGAGCGAACGGACGAGAAGCUUGCUUCUCUGAUGUUAGCGGCGGACGGGUGAGUAACACGUGGAUAACCUACCUAUAAGACUGGGAUAACUUCGGGAAACCGGAGCUAAUACUGGAUAAUAUUUUGAACCGCAUGGUUCAAAAGUAAAAGACGGUCUUGCUGUCACUUAUAGAUGGAUCCGCGCUGCAUUAGCUAGUUGGUAAGGUAACGGCUUACCAAGGCAACGAUGCAUAGCCGACCUGAGAGGGUGAUCGGCCACACUGGAACUGAGACACGGUCCAGACUCCUACGGGAGGCAGCAGUAGGGAAUCUUCCGCAAUGGGCGAAAGCCUGACGGAGCAACGCCGCGUGAGUGAUGAAGGUCUUCGGAUCGUAAAACUCUGUUAUUAGGGAAGAACAUAUGUGUAGGUAACUGUGCACAUCUUGACGGUACCUAAUCAGAAAGCCACGGCUAACUACGUG